rnacentral:rRNA from 1 species
GUGGGGAAUAUUGCACAAUGGGGGGAACCCUGAUGCAGCCAUGCCGCGUGUGUGAAGAAGGCCUUCGGGUUGUAAAGCACUUUCACAGGGGAGGAAGAAUGACGUUACCCUGAGAAGAAGCACCGGCUAACUCCGUGCCAGCAGCCGCGGUAAUACGGAGGGUGCAAGCGUUAAUCGGAAUAACUGGGCGUAAAGGGCAUGCAGGCGGAUAAGCAAGUAAGGUGUGAAAUACCCGGGCUCAACCUGGGAACUGCACUUUAAACUACGGAUCUAGAGUAUUGCAGGGGGAGAUGGAAUUCCAGGUGUAGCGGUGGAAUGCGUAGAUAUCUGGAAGAACACCGGAGGCGAAGGCGAUCUCCUGGGCAAAUACUGACGCUCAUAUGCGAAAGCGUGGGAAGCAAACAGG